GUAUCCGUGCGCUGCUCUGGUUUGCCAGAAGCGGCUUAGUCAUGCUCGCCACAUGACCCAGAAGCUGUAUGCUGGCUCCCUCGGCCAAUAAAGCGAGAUGAGCGCCGCAACUCCAGAGUCGGCCAUGACUGGACCUAACGGUCAGGGGUCCCUUUACCUUUACCUUACAUAGUAUGUUAUUCACAUACUUUAAAAAACUGUGCAUAGACGAAACAUUUUUAUUUUGUAGACUAGAGCAGCCAUGGAGCGGUGAUUUUUCACCAGUCUGCGGAUAUAUUAGGGUUUAUGGAUGUUUAUUUUUCAAAACAAAAGUGGCCAGUUUAAGUGAGCUUCCCCUCCUCUUCUGAACUUCAGCCACUCUGGCUGGGACUGUUGGGCAACUGCCAACGGCCACUAUUUCCCCAUCCCAGUGUACAGCCACUAUUUCCCCAUCCCAGUGUCUUUUUGACCUGCAGCUCCCGAUAGACAUGUGUUUACUUAGCUGAGAUUUCAAAUUGUAACCGCAGAAUAAAUUCUUUAAUAGGCCAACAAAUGAAGACAUUGUGCACUGUAGCCUCUACUGCCUUUAUUAUGUUCCUUAUGCUCCCCGCCCCCUACUGUUACUGUCAGGCACCUUGAAGGUUUGUCAUCAGGCAGAAAGGUAAAAUGAAAAUAUUUCAGAU